rnacentral:rRNA from 1 species
AGGUAAGCUACUAAGAGCGAAUGGUGGAUGCCUUGACUGGUAAAGGCGAUGAAGGACGUACUAGACUGCGAUAAGCUACGGGGAGCUGUCAAGAAGCUUUGAUCCGUAGAUUUCCGAAUGGGGCAACCCAAUGUAUAGAGAUAUACAUUACCUAUAUAGGAGCGAACGAGGGGAAUUGAAACAUCUUAGUACCCUCAGGAAAAGAAAUCAAUAGAGAUUGCGUCAGUAGCGGCGAGCGAAAGCGCAAGAGGGCAAACCCAGUGCUUGCACUGGGGGUUGUAGGACUGCAAUGUGCAAGAGGUAAGUUUAGCAGAACAUUCUGGAAAGUAUAACCAUAGAGGGUGAUAGUCCCGUAUGCGAAAAACAAACCUUAGCUAGCAGUAUCCUGAGUAGGGCGGGACACGAGGAAUCCUGUCUGAAUCCGGGUCGACCACGAUCCAACCCUAAAUACUAAUACCAGAUCGAUAGUGCACAAGUACCGUGAGGGAAAGGUGAAAAGAACUGAGGUGAUCAGAGUGAAAUAGAACCUGAAACCAUUUGCUUACAAUCAUUCAGAGCCCUAUGUAGCAAUACAGGGUGAUGGACUGCCUUUUGCAUAAUGAGCCUGCGAGUUGUGGUGUCUGGCAAGGUUAAGCAAACGCGAAGCCGUAGCGAAAGCGAGUCUGAAUAGGGCGCUUAGUCAGAUGCUGCAGACCCGAAACGAAGUGAUCUAUCCAUGAGCAAGUUGAAGCUAGUGUAAGAACUAGUGGAGGACUGAACCCAUAGGCGUUGAAAAGCCCCGGGAUGACUUGUGGAUAGGGGUGAAAGGCCAAUCAAACUUCGUGAUAGCUGGUUCUCUCCGAAAUAUAUUUAGGUAUAGCGUUGUGUCGUAAUAUAAGGGGGUAGAGCACUGAAUGGGCUAGGGCAUACACCAAUGUACCAAACCCUAUCAAACUCCGAAUACCUUAUAUGUAAUCACAGCAGUCAGGCGGCGAGUGAUAAAAUCCGUCGUCAAGAGGGAAACAACCCAGACUACCAGCUAAGGUCCCUAAAUCUUACUUAAGUGGAAAACGAUGUGAAGUUACUUAAACAACCAGGAGGUUGGCUUAGAAGCAGCCAUCCUUUAAAGAAAGCGUAAUAGCUCACUGGUCUAGUGAUUUUGCGCGGAAAAUAUAACGGGGCUAAAGUAAGUACCGAAGCUGUAGACUUAGUUUACUAAGUGGUAGGAGAGCGUUCUAUUUGCGUCGAAGGUAUACCGGUAAGGAGUGCUGGAGCGAAUAGAAGUGAGCAUGCAGGCAUGAGUAGCGAUAAUUAAUGUGAGAAUCAUUAACGCCGUAAACCCAAGGUUUCCUACGCGAUGCUCGUCAUCGUAGGGUUAGUCGGGUCCUAAGUCGAGUCCGAAAGGGGUAGACGAUGGCAAAUUGGUUAAUAUUCCAAUACCAACAUUAGUGUGCGAUGGAAGGACGCUUAGGGCUAAGGGGGCUAGCGGAUGGAAGUGCUAGUCUAAGGUCGUAGGAGGUUAUACAGGCAAAUCCGUAUAACAAUACUCCGAGAACUGAAAGGCUUUUUGAAGUCUUCGGAUGGAUAGAAGAACCCCUGAUGCCGUCGAGCCAAGAAAAGUUUCUAAGUUUAGCUAAUGUUGCCCGUACCGUAAACCGACACAGGUGGGUGGGAUGAGUAUUUUAAGGCGCGUGGAAGAACUCUCUUUAAGGAACUCUGCAAAAUAGCACCGUAUCUUCGGUAUAAGGUGUGGUUAGCUUUGUAUUAGGAUUUACUCCGAAAGCAAGGAAACUUACAACAAAGAGUCCCUCCCGACUGUUUACCAAAAACACAGCACUCUGCUAACUCGUAAGAGGAUGUAUAGGGUGUGACGCCUGCCCGGUGCUCGAAGGUUAAUUGAUGGGGUUAGCAUUAGCGAAGCUCUUGAUCGAAGCCCGAGUAAACGGCGGCCGUAACUAUAACGGUCCUAAGGUAGCGAAAUUCCUUGUCGGUUAAAUACCGACCUGCAUGAAUGGCGUAACGAGAUGGGAGCUGUCUCAAAGAGGGAUCCAGUGAAAUUGUAGUGGAGGUGAAAAUUCCUCCUACC